UACGAAGGGGGGCUAGCGUUGCUCGGAAUCACUGGGCGUAAAGGGUGCGUAGGUGGCGUGGUAAGUUUGAUGUGAAAGCUCAGGGCUUAACCCUGAAAUGGCAUUGAAUACUACUGUGCUGGAGGUUUGGAGGGGGGGACUGGAAUUCUUGGUGUAGCAGUGAAAUGCGUAGAUAUCAAGAGGAACACCAGUGGCGAAGGCGAGUCCCUGGACAACACCUACACUGAGGCACGAAAGCUAGGGGAGCAAACAGG
rnacentral:rRNA from 1 species